rnacentral:rRNA from 1 species
UACGGUGGGGGCAAGCGUUGUUCGGAAUUACUGGGCGUAAAGGGCUCGUAGGUGGCCAACUAAGUCAGACGUGAAAUCCCUCGGCUUAACCGGGGAACUGCGUCUGAUACUGGAUGGCUAGAGUUUGGGAGAGGGAUGCGGAAUUCCAGGUGUAGCGGUGAAAUGCGUAGAUAUCUGGAGGAACACCGGUGGCGAAGGCGGCAUCCUGGACCAAUACUGACGCUGAGGAGCGAAAGCCAGGGGAGCAAACGGG